UUUUUUUUUUUUUUUUUUUUUUUUUUUUCCU
rnacentral:ribozyme from 1 species